rnacentral:misc_RNA from 1 species
GUCCUGCUCUUCCCAUUUUUGAAUAUCCGAUUAGGUAUUGAAGUCAGAUGUUGCAAUGUAGUAACAGGAUCAGAAAAAGUUUUUCUAAUCCUCUUUCGACUAAACAUACUUAUCCCCAAACAUUCAGGGGAAACUCGUUCUCCGUUGCUCCUGCUACUACAAGUACUAUGAUUGCUGGUAGAAGCACAACCCCCCAUUUUCUCAGAAACACAAAGAGACCAUCUGAUCCACAACAAAAGAAAUGUUCUUCCUCCCAAUGAAACUGGAUCAGACUGAAUUGUGAACUAAGCAAAAAAAAACUGUAGAACUCACAAGCAUCCAACGCGAUUCUUUUUAAUCUUGGUCAAAAUAUUGCACUUCAAGUUGGUUUAGUGAUAGCUGGG